CAGUCGCCGCGGGAAUACGUAGGUGGCAAGCGUUGUCCGGAAUUAUUGGGCGUAAAGGGCUCGCAGGCGGUUUCUUAAGUCUGAUGUGAAAGCCCCCGGCUCAACCGGGGAGGGUCAUUGGAAACUGGGAAACUUGAGUGCAGAAGAGGAGAGUGGAAUUCCACGUGUAGCGGUGAAAUGCGUAGAGAAGUGGAGGAACACCAGUGGCGAAGGCGACUCUCUGGUCUGUAACUGACGCUGAGGAGCGAAAGCGUGGGGAGCGAACAGGAUUAGAUACCCCUGUAGUCCCUGUCUCUUAUAU
rnacentral:rRNA from 1 species